GAACGCUGGCGGCGUGCUUAACACAUGCAAGUCGAACGGUGAAGCUCCAGCUUGCUGGAGUGGAUCAGUGGCGAACGGGUGAGUAACACGUGAGCAACCUGCCCCAAACUCUGGAAUAAGCGCUGGAAACGGCGUCUAAUACUGGAUACGAGACCAACCUGCAUGGGUAUGGCUUGGAAAGUUUUUCGGUUUGGGAUGGGCUCGCGGCCUAUCAGCUUGUUGGUGAGGUAAUGGCUCACCAAGGCGACGACGGGUAGCCGGCCUGAGAGGGCGACCGGCCACACUGGGACUGAGACACGGCCCAGACUCCUACGGGAGGCAGCAGUGGGGAAUAUUGCACAAUGGGCGAAAGCCUGAUGCAGCGACGCCGCGUGAGGGAUGACGGC
rnacentral:rRNA from 1 species